UACGAGGGGGGCAAAUGUUGUUCGGAAUCACUGGGCGUAAAGGGAGCGUAGGCGGGUUUCUAAGUCAGGUGUUUAAUCCCGGGGCCCAACCCCGGACAGGCACUUGAAACUGGGAAUCUUGAAUAGUGGAGAGGUCAGUGGAAUUGGGGGUGUAGCGGUGAAAUGCGCAGAUAUCAGGAAGAACACCCGUGGCGAAGGCGGCUCUCUGGGACGGUACUGACGCUGAGACGCGAAAGCGUGGGGAGCGAACAGG
rnacentral:rRNA from 1 species